rnacentral:rRNA from 1 species
GAUGAACGCUAGCUACAGGCUUAACACAUGCAAGUCGAGGGGCGGCAUGGUCUUAGCUUGCUAAGGCCGAUGGCGACCGGCGCACGGGUGAGUAACGCGUAUCCAACCUGCCUUACACUCUUGGACAGCCUUCUGAAAGGGAGAUUAAUACAAGAUGUUAUCAUGAGUAAGCAUUUUCGCAUGAUUAAAGGUUUACCGGUGUAAGAUGGGGAUGCGUUCCAUUAGAUAGUAGGCGGGGUAACGGCCCACCUAGUCUUCGAUGGAUAGGGGUUCUGAGAGGAAGGUCCCCCACAUUGGAACUGAGACACGGUCCAAACUCCUACGGGAGGCAGCAGUGAGGAAUAUUGGUCAAUGGACGAGAGUCUGAACCAGCCAAGUAGCGUGAAGGAUGAAGGUUCUAUGGAUUGUAAACUUCUUUUAUACGGGAAUAAACGAAUCCACGCGUGGAUUUUUGCAUGUACCGUAUGAAUAAGGAUCGGCUAACUCCGUGCCAGCAGCCGCGGUAAUACGGAGGAUCCGAGCGUUAUCCGGAUUUAUUGGGUUUAAAGGGAGCGUAGAUGGGUUGUUAAGUCAGUUGUGAAAGUUUGCGGCUCAACCGUAAAAUUGCAAUUGAUACUGGCAGUCUUGAGUACAGUUGAGGUAGGCGGAAUUCGUGGUGUAGCGGUGAAAUGCUUAGAUAUCACGAAGAACUCCGAUUGCGAAGGCAGCUUACUAACCUGUAACUGACAUUGAUGCUCGAAAGUGUGGGUAUCAAACAGGAUUAGAUACCCUGGUAGUCCACACGGUAAACGAUGAAUACUCGCUGUAGGCGAUAUACAGUCUGCGGCCAAGCGAAAGCAUUAAGUAUUCCACCUGGGGAGUACGCCGGCAACGGUGAAACUCAAAGGAAUUGACGGGGGCCCGCACAAGCGGAGGAACAUGUGGUUUAAUUCGAUGAUACGCGAGGAACCUUACCCGGGCUUAAAUUGCAACCGAAUAUGGCGGAAACGCUAUAGCUAGCAAUAGCGGUUGUGAAGGUGCUGCAUGGUUGUCGUCAGCUCGUGCCGUGAGGUGUCGGCUUAAGUGCCAUAACGAGCGCAACCCUUGCCGAUAGUUACUAACAGGUUAUGCUGAGGACUCUGUCGGGACUGCCAUCGUAAGAUGUGAGGAAGGUGGGGAUGACGUCAAAUCAGCACGGCCCUUACGUCCGGGGCUACACACGUGUUACAAUGGGGGGUACAGAGGGCUGCUACCACGCAAGUGGAUGCCAAUCCCAAAAACCUCUCUCAGUUCGGAUUGAAGUCUGCAACCCGACUUCAUGAAGCUGGAUUCGCUAGUAAUCGCGCAUCAGCCACGGCGCGGUGAAUACGUUCCCGGGCCUUGUACACACCGCCCGUCAAGCCAUGGGAGCCGGGGGUACCAGAAGUGCGUAACCGCAAGGAGCGCCCUAGGGUAAAACUG